GCAUCUAGGUUCAUUUGUUUGAGUUCUAUCACCGUGAGUCUGUUUCUGCUUCCUGUGUCGGCGUGUUCAUCUCUGUUUUCAGGUUCUGUUAUGUUUGUGGAGUUUUUCCCACCUAUCUACAGUGUAAAGGUCUUUAAAGUCCAAACGUAUGAGGGUUCUCCAUAGAAAGGAUGUCAAACGCUGCCGUUUCGUCAAGGCGUGAUGUCUUUCUGAGAUAUGAACGAGGUGUCCUCUGGCGCUCGUGUUGUCAUGGAGGUGAACGGAGUAGAGAGGGCAGCUUCUCGUGAAGUCCUUAUGCGUGUUCACCAUGUUUGAGGAACGUGCAGGACGGCGUGCACAUCAAUCUGAGGAACUCAAGUCAAUAAAAAAUCCAUGAACAUGAAAAAAUAAAACUUUCUGUUGUAGUUUGAA